GACGAGGGAUCCUAGCGUUGUUCGGAACCAUUGGGCGUAAAGAGUAUGUAGGCGGCCUUGUAAGUCAGUUGUGAAAGCCCCGGGCUCAACCCGGGAAGUGCAAUUGAUACUGCUUGGCUUGAAUGUGGAAGAGGGUAGUAGAAUUCCAGGUGUAGUGGUGAAAUACGUAGAUAUCUGGAGGAACACCAGUGGCGAAGGCGGCUCACUGGCCCGAUACUGACGCUGAGGCACGAAAGCGUGGGGAGCAAACAGG
rnacentral:rRNA from 1 species